GCGGUCGCAGCAGCAGCCCCCCGGCGGAGAGCAAGCUGGGGGCACCUGGGGGGCGGAGACAGCUACGUUAAGAAGUUGGGGGGGGAGGGAACCUCCAAACUCGCCUUAAAAAUCGCUCCGCCCCCCCCCCGCCCCCGAGAGAGGGUGGCACGAAAGACCAAACUGCGAACGGAAGGGAGCGAGCCGCGGGCGGCCGUGUUCGGUGCCCGGUGCCCGGUGCCGCCCAGCCCGGGCGAGGGAGACCAUGAGCACCGACAUACGCAGAAAAAACAACCGGAGCCCUUGUGGCACCUUAGAGACUCGCACGUGUAUCUGAGCAUCCGCUUUCCUGAGCUACAGCCCACUGCAUCGGAUGCCUGCGGUGGAAAAUACACCGGGCAUCACAUUAUGCCCUGGAGCUAGCUAGCUGUCACGGGCAAGAUUGAGCAGUUCUACCAGCAAAAAGGAAAGGCGGACUUGUGGCACCUUAGAGACUAACACGUUUAUUUGAGCAUCAGCUUUCGUGAUCCGAUGAAGUGAGCUGUAGCUCGCGAAAGCUUAUGCUCUAAUAAAUUGGUUAGUCUCUAAGGUGCCACAAGUCCUCCUGUUCUUUUUGCGGAUACAGACUAAUACGGCUGCUACUCUGAAACCAGUUCUACCAGGAUAGCCCCCAUGUGGAUACUUUUAGUUUGGUAUAAGCAUGGCUUUUUUUUUUUUCUUCUUCUCCAUUUAUCAUCAGCCCCUUCCCCAGUGACAUAAACUAAACCAAAAGAAGGCACUCAUCCUAGAAGAAGAGUGUCCACACAGGAGGUUGUAUUCUGUCUUCGAUGGGUGACACUACAAGACCCAGCCAUCAUCCAGCGUUUGUCUUCUUAUAUUUAAAACCUACCUCACAGGAAUAAGUAAAAGAUUUGUGUUACUUCUUGGCCAUGAAAGGACUCGUCUUCCAUUGCUUGUGUACAUGCAAGAUUACAGCAUUCCUCUUGAACUUGUCAGCCUCGCUAAUGGUGCUGGACCCUUGGAUAUUGCCAUUCACUACAAAGCACUUCAGUUAGAUAAUAAUCAUUGUAUUGGGACGCUGUCCCCACCUCCUUGUGAUUUCUGGUUGCUUAACCCUGCUCAAGAAUCAGUCUGGUUAAUUAUUUGCCUUCACGUUUUCAGAAAUCCUUAGCUCAACUAGAAGAAAUACCAUUAGCUCGGGGCUUCUUUUCGUGGAUGAAUGGAAAACUCCAACUCCCACUUGAAGUAGCCUUUGUGGUAGUUCAUGCAGAAUAUGGUCCUGCUGUUUGUUCAAAUCAUGAUGGUGCUUUCUGCAGUGAGAAUCCAAGAGGCCAUUCUGUUUGUAACUUUAAUUUGCUGAGCAGUUGAAAUUAACCAUUUAUAACUGAAAUAAAGUAAAUUUUAUAGG